rnacentral:rRNA from 2 species
UACGAAGGGGGCUAGCGUUGCUCGGAAUUACUGGGCGUAAAGCGCACGUAGGCGGCUCUUUAAGUCGGGGGUGAAAUCCUGGAGCUCAACUCCAGAACUGCCUUCGAUACUGUAGAGCUUGAGUUCGGGAGAGGUGAGUGGAACUGCGAGUGUAGAGGUGAAAUUCGUAGAUAUUCGCAAGAACACCAGUGGCGAAGGCGGCUCACUGGCCCGAUACUGACGCUGAGGUGCGAAAGCGUGGGGAGCAAACAGG